GUCCCUGUAGCUUACAACAAAGCAUGGCACUGAAGAUGCCAAGACGGCCUCACAUCUUCCCAGGGACA
rnacentral:tRNA from 1 species